rnacentral:antisense_RNA from 1 species
AUAUCUAUAACCUCGGGCAUGCUGUGUACGAAUUAGAGUUUGGUGUGCAGGCGCCUGAUCGUUUAAAUCCUUUGAAUUGCCACUAAUUCAUAUUCCCGCCCUUAGAGAAUCUAAACCACUUACUUGAAUAUAAGAGAAAAAAAGUGCAACAAAAAAAAACAAAAGUUAUGACGCAAUAUAGAACUAAGUGUGUGUGAAAAGCUGUCCCGUGAGAUAUAGAAUCUACCGAAUUUCAGUAUAUUUAGUUUCCCCAUAUCUAGUAGUCGUGUUGGUAUACAGUUGGUCUAAUCAUUUGUCUCCCUAUUUGCCCAAUCCAUUCUUCUUUUUCAAUUGGGUUUUCAGCUAUUAAAAAGAAGACUCUGUUUGGGGUGUCAACCCUAAAUGAAUUUUCUUUAUUUGUAUCUUCAUCAGCGGAUCUGACAGUUAGACAUUCGGAGAGCAUUAAUGACUCAGUAGGAGUGGAAAGGCUUCUUUGAUCUUUAAAGCUUGCGAGGUAGUUCCUUGUUAAUACGAACCAUCUUCUACGCCAAUCUUUUAGAAAUCGACUUUGUUUGUAAAGCCACCCUUGCUUAACAAUCUCGUCUUGCCUAAUGGAAAUCUGUGGGCUUCCCAGAAACAUGUGCGGUAGCUAAUUAAAGGUAAUGUGAUUUACUUUAAAAAACUAUUAGAAAUUGAUUGUCGUAAUACUGCUUGAAAAAAAUACUUAUAAAAAUUAAGCGAGUUAAUAUCUACUUUAAGGAGUGUUUACGAUAAAAGUCACUACUUUCUCGAUAACUUUACUCACAAAUAAUUUAACCAAUGUUAUCCUAGUAUAAAUAAUUUUACAUUUAUGCAAAUAGGCGCCACUAACAAUAUAAUCCUUAAUUUGGCGGUAUAUUUUGAGGAUC